rnacentral:rRNA from 1 species
AGGACGAACGCUGGCGGCGUGCUUAACACAUGCAAGUCGAGCGAGGCCCUCUCUUCGGAGAGGUGCCCUAGCGGCGAACGGGUGAGUAACACGUGGGCAACCUGCCCCUAGCACUGGGAUAAGCCCGGGAAACCGGGUCUAAUACCGGAUAUGACCUUCAAGGGCAUCCUCGAAGGUGUAAAGGAUUCUGGCUAGGGAUGGGCCCGCGGCCUAUCAGCUUGUUGGUGGGGUAAUGGCCCACCAAGGCAACGACGGGUAGCCGGCCUGAGAGGGCGACCGGCCACACUGGGACUGAGACACGGCCCAGACUCCUACGGGAGGCAGCAGUGGGGAAUAUUGCACAAUGGGCGAAAGCCUGAUGCAGCGACGCCGCGUGAGGGAUGACGGCCUUCGGUUGUAAACCUCUUCAGCUCCGACGAAGCGAAAGUGACGGUAGGAGCAGAAGAAGCACCGGCCAACUACGCGCCAGCGAGCCGC